rnacentral:rRNA from 1 species
CGGAGGGUGCAAGCGUUAUCCGGAUUCACCGGGUUUAAAGGGUGCGUAGGUGGGCAGGUAAGUCAGUGGUGAAAUCCCCGAGCUUAACUUGGGAACUGCCAUUGAUACUAUUUGUCUUGAAUACUGUGGAGGUUAGCGGAAUAUGUCAUGUAGCGGUGAAAUGCUUAGAUAUGACAUAGAACACCAAUUGCGAAGGCAGCUGGCUACACAAAUAUUGACACUGAUGCACGAAAGCGUGGGGAUCAAACAGGAUUAGAUACCCUGGUAGUCCACGCCCUAAACUAUGGAUACUCGACAUACGCGAUACACUGUGUGUGUCUGAGCGAAAGCAUUAAGUAUCCCACCUGGGAAGUACGAUCGCAAGAUUG